CCUGGGCAUGGUGGCGCACGCCUGCAAUCCCAGUGGCUCGGGAGGCUGAGGCAGGAGGAUUGAGAAUUCAAAGCCAACCUCAGCAACUCAGUGAGGCACUACGACUCAGUGAGACCCUGUCUCUA
rnacentral:sRNA from 1 species